GCCUGGGUGGCGCAGUCGGUUAAGCGUCCGACUUCAGCCAGGUCACGAUCUCGCGGUCCGUGGGUUCGAGCCCCGCCUCAGGCU
rfam:Felis catus isolate Cinnamon breed Abyssinian chromosome D2, whole genome shotgun sequence.